rnacentral:rRNA from 1 species
AUCCAGAGGGUGCGAGCGUUAAUCGGAAUUACUGGGCGUAAAGCGCGCGUAGGCGGCUUAUUAAGUCAGAUGUGAAAUCCCCGGGCUCAACCUGGGAACUGCAUCUGAUACUGGUAAGCUAGAGUUUUGGAGAGGGAAGUAGAAUUUCAGGUGUAGCGGUGAAAUGCAUAGAGAUCUGAAGGAAUACCAGUGGCGAAGGCGACUUCCUGGCCAAAAACUGACGCUGAGGUGCGAAAGCGUGGGUAGCAAACGGGAUUAGAAACCCUAGUAGUCC